GUGGAGUGGCUCUGCUCAAACGAUCGCUAAAACAUAUCAAUUGACUUUGUCAAAAACCCUUUUCAGUUCCUUAUUCAUAUUAACCCUGUGUCCCAGCAUACUUAACAUUUGCACGUUGACACGUUUGACUGCACUUUUGAGCACAUAUUGAAAUAUCUUUAACAGAAUAAUGUCAUUUACGUCAGGUUUUCGUGAUGUUUCACUAUCAAGACAUGACACGUUCUAAACAUAUAAAAUGAUCAAAGCCUGCAUAAUGACAACUUUGAAGAAUUAUUCGUGAGGCUUACAGUUGGAGCUCAUUACAACCAUUUUCCCUUUCGUUUAAGCUGAGCUCAUCAUGGCAUCGAAGACCAUUACCGCCCUGCUCCUUCUCUUCGCUCUCAUAGGCGCGGCGAGUGUGGAGGCUAUAAACUCUGGGAAUGAAGGGGACAGCGCGUUAGGCACGGCCAUGGAGGCUCUCACAAGUGACGAUGGCAUGGUGAAUGAAGAUGGUUCUGAUGAUGAUUGCUAUGACUGCGGCGGCGUACUUGACUAAAUAAUGAACGUGGCAUCUUGUAUUGGAGAUUCAAAAGCAAACACUUGCACACGCACCUGGGACUAAAUGGACUUAACUCAAUAAUCUGACAUUGCAAUUCAAUUUCAUAAUUCUUCUUCUUGUCAUUAAUAGAUUACAACUUGUUUGAUUACGUUUAUUAUCAUUGUUCACAAUCUCUUAUUUCUCAUACAUAUUGCUCUAGGGUAUGACUAUUCAAAUUCCAACAAAUGUAAUCGUUGUGUCACCAUUAUGCUUUUUUUCAUCUAGUGAAAAUAGAGAUACAAACUGUCAUAAUUAUGCGACUAUACUUAUACUGAAACCUUAGUGUUUGUUUGUAUCUUAUUGGAGGUAUUUACUGAGGAGACAUGAUAUUAUUUUGUAGUUUUGGACCCACAAAGGAAAGGUUAUAAAGAGUCAAUACAUCAUACUUUCAAAGUUGGUCUGUUAACUGCGUCAUGCCAUGAUGGGUGGCAUAUGGAAACGUUGUAUCAUCUGCUCAAUCUGACUUGCGUGCAUAGAACAAAUAAGCAUUUUUCCAUGAAAAAGUGAAGUUUUCUAAAAUGUGCGUUUC